rnacentral:rRNA from 1 species
UGAGGAAUAUUGGUCAAUGGACGAGAGUCUGAACCAGCCAAGUAGCGUGAAGGAUGACUGCCCUAUGGGUUGUAAACUUCUUUUAUACGGGAAUAAAGUGGUCCACGUGUGGACUUUUGUAUGUACCGUAUGAAUAAGGAUCGGCUAACUCCGUGCCAGCAGCCGCGGUAAUACGGAGGAUCCGAGCGUUAUCCGGAUUUAUUGGGUUUAAAGGGAGCGUAGGUGGACAGUUAAGUCAGUUGUGAAAGUUUGCGGCUCAACCGUAAAAUUGCAGUUGAUACUGGCUGUCUUGAGUACAGUAGAGGUGGGCGGAAUUCGUGGUGUAGCGGUGAAAUGCUUAGAUAUCACGAAGAACUCCGAUUGCGAAGGCAGCUCACUGGACUGCAACUGACACUGAUGCUCGAAAGUGUGGGUAUCAAACAGGAUUAGAUACCCUGGUAGUCCACACAGUAAACGAUGAAUACUCGCUGUUUGCGAUAUACAGUAAGCGGCCAAGCGAAAGCGUUAAGUAUUCCACCUGGGGAGUACGCCGGCAACGGUGAAACUCAAAGGAAUUGACGGGGGCCCGCACAAGCGGAGGAACAUGUGGUUUAAUUCGAUGAUACGCGAGGAACCUUACCCGGGCUUAAAUUGCAUUUGAAUAAUCAAGAAAUUGGUUAGUCGUAAGACAAAUGUGAAGGUGCUGCAUGGUUGUCGUCAGCUCGUGCCGUGAGGUGUCGGCUUAAGUGCCAUAACGAGCGCAACCCUUAUCUUCAGUUACUAACAGGUCAUGCUGAGGACUCUGGAGAGACUGCCGUCGUAAGAUGUGAGGAAGGUGGGGAUGACGUCAAAUCAGCACGGCCCUUACGUCCGGGGCUACACACGUGUUACAAUGGGGGGUACAGAAGGCCGCUACCUGGUGACAGGAUGCCAAUCCCAAAAACCUCUCUCAGUUCGGAUCGAAGUCUGCAACCCGACUUCGUGAAGCUGGAUUCGCUAGUAAUCGCGCAUCAGCCAUGGCGCGGUGAAUACGUUCCC